rnacentral:rRNA from 1 species
UGGGGAAUUUUGGACAAUGGGCGCAAGCCUGAUCCAGCCAUGCCGCGUGUCUGAAGAAGGCCUUCGGGUUGUAAAGGACUUUUGUCAGGGAAGAAAAGGGCGGGGUUAAUACCCCUGUCUGAUGACGGUACCUGAAGAAUAAGCACCGGCUAACUACGUGCCAGCAGCCGCGGUAAUACGUAGGGUGCGAGCGUUAAUCGGAAUUACUGGGCGUAAAGCGGGCGCAGACGGUGACUUAAGCAGGAUGUGAAAUCCCCGGGCUCAACCUGGGAACUGCGUUCUGAACUGGGUGACUAGAGUGUGUCAGAGGGAGGUAGAAUUCCACGUGUAGCAGUGAAAUGCAUAGAGAUGUGGAGGAAUACCGAUGGCGAAGGCAGCCUCCUGGGAUAACACUGACGUUCAUGCCCGAAAGCGUGGGUAGCAAACA